rnacentral:rRNA from 1 species
UACGAAGGGGGCUAGCGUUGCUCGGAAUCACUGGGCGUAAAGCGCACGUAGGCGGACUCUUAAGUCAGGGGUGAAAUCCUGGAGCUCAACUCCAGAACUGCCUUUGAUACUGGGAAGCUCGAGUCCGGAAGAGGUGAGUGGAACUCCUAGUGUAGCGGUGGAAUGCGCAGAUAUCAGGAAGAACACCAACGGCGAAGGCAGCUCGCUGGGCCGAUACUGACGCUGAGGAGCGAAAGCGUGGGGAGCGAACAGG